AUUCCAGUUCACUUCUUAGUUCAGUAGAUAAAACAUUGUUGAUUUAAGUUUUACUCAGCUUCAAGUUUAGUUAACAAUGCGAAAUCAUGUUCAGAUCAUAUUUGUACUGUUGUUCGUUAACGGUUACUGCUUUGUCACACCUGGUUUUGGCCGAAAAAUGACAGAUCAAAAGCUAUCGAGUGUUUAUCUCCAUACCUUGAGUUUAGGUAGAUUGCGCGAAACUUCAUCAGAUAAGGACAAAAAAGAAGAUGAGAAGAAAAAACAGAUGGAGGAUUGCAAACACGAAUGCAAAAAUGUGACAAGCGGCAGGCAGCGCUACAAAUGCUUGGAGGAGUGUAUGAAAAACACAUCAGGAAAAAAGUUGUCAAAACUGACGAAGGAACAUGGGCAAUAUAUCUAGAGAUUAUACAUGGAAAACAAGAAGACAGGAAUACAUGAAUACGUGACUCUGCAAGUAAAAUUUUCUGAGGAUACAUAAAACAAGUCAACAUUAUUGACUUAUUCUAGAAGUGGUCAAAACAAUUGACGAUACCUUUUUGUUAUUUAGUUUUUCUGAAUUUAAAUUUCUGUAAUAAA